GCAUGCCUGUGCACCGUGGUCUCUGCCCGAACCGACCCUGGCGUACUUCCCCAACGCCAGGUGCGUCUCGGACAGGGGCCUCGGUGCACGGGCGGGCCGCC
rfam:Mycobacterium asiaticum strain 1245139.5 contig_151, whole genome shotgun sequence.